rnacentral:rRNA from 1 species
GGGGNUUAACUCCGGGCGUGCAGGCGAUACGGGCACGACUAGAGUGCUGUAGGGGUAACUGGAAUUCCUGGUGUAGCGGUGAAAUGCGCAGAUAUCAGGAGGAACACCGAUGGCGAAGGCAGGUUACUGGGCAGUUACUGACGCUGAGGAGCGAAAGCAUGGGGAGCGAACAGGAUUAGAUACCCUGGUAGUCCAUGCUGUAAACGGUGGGCGCUAGGUGUGGGCUGUGUGUUUGCAGUCUGUGCCGUAGCAACGCAUUAAGCGCCCCGCCUGGGGAGUACGGCCGCAGGGCUAAAACUCAAAGGAAUUGACGGGGGCCCGCACAAGCGGCGGAGCAUGUGGAUUAAUUCGAUGCAACGCGAAGAACCUUACCUGGGUUUGACAUGCACCAGAUCGGCGUAGAGAUACGUCCUCCCUUGUGGUUGGUGCACAGGUGGUGCAUGGUUGUCGUCAGCUCGUGUCGUGAGAUGUUGGGUUAAGUCCCGCAACGAGCGCAACCCUUGUCUUAUGUUGCCAGCGCAUUUUUGGUGGGGACUCAUGAGAAACUGCCGGGGUCAACUCGGAGGAAGGUGGGGAUGACGUCAAAUCAUCAUGCCCUUUAUACCCAGGGCUUCACACAUGCUACAAUGGUCGGUACAACGGGUUGCGACACUGUGAAGUGAAGCUAAUCUCUUAAAGCCGGCCUCAGUUCGGAUUGGGGUCUGCAACUCGACCCCAUGAAGUCGGAGUCGCUAGUAAUCGCAGAUCAGCAAUGCUGCGGUGAAUACGUUCCCGGGCCUUGUACACACCGCCCGUCACGUCAUGAAAGUUGGUAACACCCGAAGCCCAUGGCCUAACCACCGCUUUUGUGGUGGGGGGAGUGGUCG